CUCAACUGAUAUAACAAACUUGCCCUGUAGGGUGAUGGAUUAAGCAGAAGGCUUGAAUCUAUGCUACUUCCUGUGUGGCCAUGCUCCCAUUGGAUCAACCCAACCAGAAGACAGAAGGCAAAGGAUUCCAGGUGAUACAGUCUGUAGAGGUCAGCCUCCUGGGGAACAAAGUAGGUCAGCAAGAGGCAGCAAAUGGACAUAGGAGAAGAAAUAGGAAUCACCUCAGGAUGCACGCGGCAUGAAAGAGGUCCAGAAGCCCUUAUGUGCUCACAGUGAGGAACAGAAGAGAUUGCUGAGAUGCAGGAAAAACAAUCCAGCAGCAAAAUGUCAUCAAUACAGUGGCCCAAUGUGAUGCUUUGCGGACUCUCAAGACAAUCAAGAUCUCUGUGGAUUAUGUUAUGGCAGAGAACAAGAGAAUUGAUGUAUUCUUGAGGCAUGGCUGGGAAGGUAGACUGUUGUCCCUGAUAGGUAAAAGCAAGCUGCUUCUGAUUGUCCUUAUACAUUGGUAUGGGGUGCAGGGAGGCAUUAGGCAAUUUAAUAGCUGCUUACUAAGUGCCAGGGCCGUGUUGAUUGUUCCAGUAAAGAUACUACAUCUGAAAGAGCAACUUUGGUGGGAAUCACCACCUGAUGAAGUUUAUAAUAGUUAGGAUCUCAUUUUUCAAGAUCCAUCUGACUUCUGCAUAGGAGAAACUGGAAAGCUAAAUGGGAGAUAUAAUAAGUAACAGUAUUCCUACUUUUUUCAAGAUUUCAAAGGCAUUAAUCUUUGCAAUUUCCCCAGUGAUGUGUUAUUGCUUCAGGUUCACCACAGCAGUAAGAGGGGAAGUUCCAAGUGUUUCUACUUAGUCUUUCCUACCAUAAUGAUCCUCAUCCCAUUGCUCAGAGAGCCAAUAUGGGGAUUCUGCAAGUUGUCAAGUGUGUCUAUUUAAAUGACAAAUUUAGAGACUGAGAACAUAACCCACAGGGUAGAUUUGUGGACAGACUGGGUCUACCAUGAGUCUGACUUGAGCUGAAAUGCUAUCACUUGACACUACAACCCCCAUUUUGGGCCACAGUAGCAUUUUGGGUCCCCAGGACUUAGCAUCAGUUCAGAGCCCGUGGAUAGUAAUCUCUGAAAAUUUCUUUUUCCUCCUAACACAGUCACUCUAGCAAAUGGCUGCAGGUCCUUUGGGGGAAUGCUUAGAGGAAGAUUCACUGUGUGUACCUGAGACAAUAGUGUAGAGCCAUUCUUCAGUAACACCUCACAUCCCCUACAAUAGAAGGGCUCUUUGCGUGUGAAUUGACUUAGGUUUCAAAACUAAGUGAGAGCCAUGACUCUUCACAGUCGAGACUGCCGGAUUUUUGGCUACCAGAUCUAGAAUGUUUCCUGUUACAGAAGUCAAACAGUUCUCUAGUAGGGUGCCCAUCUAUUUCAUUCCUAGGACUCCAUGAUCAAUUAAACAUUAUCAAAGACCUCUGUGGACCAAGACAUUCUAAUUACUGGGACAUUCCCUACUGCCCUUUAAGAUAGAUGUGCCCACCUGGUCUUAGUUAAGUGCUGCCAUUUGUCUUCUGCUACUUCAGGAUCCCAUCAUUUUCAUUGGAAUCAGGGAGCCUGUAUCAAUGGUGACAUUCCCUGUGGUUGAAUCUGUCAUUCAAAGAGAUCAACCACAGAGCUUUCAGGGACACAUAUACUCCCCUCUUGAGGCCUUAGUCAAGGCCGUGUCUCCUGGGCCUUCUCAUGGAACGCAGUUGGUGGGCGGGUGUGCAGGCUGCACAUGAUAAAUCCAGUCAAAACUUCU